AUUGAACGCUGGCGGCAUGCUUUACACAUGCAAGUCGAACGGCAGCACGGACUUCGGUCUGGUGGCGAGUGGCGAACGGGUGAGUAAUACAUCGGAACGUACCCAGUAAUGGGGGAUAACUAUCCGAAAGGAUAGCUAAUACCGCAUACGCCCUACGGGGGAAAGAGGGGGAUCGCAAGACCUCUUGUUAUUGGAGCGGCCGAUGGCUGAUUAGCUAGUUGGUAGGGUAAAGGCCUACCAAGGCAACGAUCAGUAGCGGGUCUUAGAGGACGAUCCGCCACACUGGAACUGAGACACGGUCCAGACUCCUACGGGAGGCAGCAGUGGGGAAUCUUGGACAAUGGGCGCAAGCCUGAUCCAGCAAUGCCGCGUGCGUGAAGAAGGCCUUCGGGUUGUAAAGCGCUUUUGUCAGGGAGCAAAUCCUUGUGGCUAAUACCCACCGGGGAUGAGAGUACCGGCAUAAGAAGCACCGGCUAACUACGUGCCAGCCGCCGCAGUAA
rnacentral:rRNA from 1 species